AUACUCGCUGUGGUGCGGCUGAGAUACCGCGCGCAGGUACAGCGGGUUAGCAUACUCGCUGUGGUGCGGCUGAGAUACCGCGCGCAGGUACAGCGGGUUAGCAUACUCGCUGUGGUGCGGCUGAGAUACCGCGCGCAGGUACAGCGGGUUAGCAUACUCGCUGUGGUGCGGCUGAGAUACCGCGCGCAGGUACAGCGGGUUAGCAUACUCGCUGUGGUGCGGCUGAGAUACCGCGCGCAGGUACAGCGGGUUAGCAUACUCGCUGUGGUGCGGCUGAGAUACCGCGCGCAGGUACAGCGGGUUAGCAUACUCGCUGUGGUGCGGCUGAGAUACCGCGCGCAGGUACAGCGGGUUAGCAUACUCGCUGUGGUGCGGCUGAGAUACCGCGCGCAGGUACAUCGGGUUAGCAUACUCGCUGUGGUGCGGCUGAGAUACCGCGCGCAGGUACAGCGGGUUAGCAUACUCGCUGUGGUGCGGCUGAGAUACCGCGCGCAGGUACAGCGGGUUAGCAUACAAGUACACAGUAGUUGAUAUAAAGGGAGUUGAGUAUGGGACUCAGUAUGCAAGCUUGCGGUGUGUUCAGGCUUAUGGUGGAGGAGAAAUGAGCACCCAGCCAUACCACCUGAUGACAGUCUGACAGGAAGCUGAGGAUCCAGUUAUAUAGUGGUAUGUUGAGGACCAGCUGCUACAGUUUUUGGAUGAACUGGCAGGCAACAAUAGUAUUGAAAGCAGAGCUAUAGUCUACAAAUGGCAUCCUGAGGUGUUUGCCCUGUCCCCCCAGAUGAGUCACGGCACUGUGGAGAGCUACAGAGAUGGUAUCCUCUGUAGACCUAUUAGCUAUGUAAGAAAAUCAGGAUGAUGGUGAUGAUGUUGGCUUUAAUGUAAGAGAAAAUAAGCCUUUCAAAGUGCUACAUUAUUAUUGGUGUCAGAGCGAUAGGAUGAUAGUGAUUCAUGUACCUGAUGUGUUGUUUUCUUUGGCACUGGCACAGUGAUGGCUGAUUUAAGGCAGGCAGGGACCAUUUCCAACGUCAAGGAGAGAUUAGAGAUAUUAGUAAAUGCCUCAGGAAGCAGCUGGGUCUCCAUCCAGUCCAGCAGCUUUGCAUGGACUGACCUUUUGCACCAUUGUACAUUAUAUGUGCUCAGUCUGUAGGUGGCAGACCUUACAUCUUUUGUGGCUGUAAUCUUUACAGGUGGCCUGGGGUUUCUGGAUUCAAAACUGGCAAAAACUGUGUCGGCCAAUGUGACAUCACUGUGGGUGGAGCCAGGGCUGCCUGUAUGUGGGAAACAGGAGUCGUGCAGCUGGAAUGGACGGCUGUAUAGCUGAGGCGGCACUGUUGGAGGAGAGUGACAUGGAGGAUCAGCUGCCCCCCUCCUCUGAAAGGCCUUUGCUGGCCUCGGGACCCCCCAGCCCAGGGUACUACCCUCUCAUUCCGGCCGCUUACACAAGGACAGUUAAACCACAUCUCUCCCUGGACCAGAAAGAUAUUCUUUUCAAGCCUACUAUAAAAAGAAACUUGCUAAAGCUGCUUUUCCAGUGAUUUCAAGCUUCCAAAGCUUCCCCUUCCAAAGAACACAUUAACUUUCUCCCCCUUUUUGUUUUCUUUCAAAGAUCCUUCCUGAAGUCACCAGACACCACUGCUGUUACUCACCAUGCACUGGGUACCAGUUAAAUUGCUCAGAUCUGAUCAUACAGAAACUCUCCCCUAUUGUUAAUUUAGCUGUUAAAUGCUGAGUUUCACGCCAGAGCUGCUAAUUUCCUUACAGAGCUAAAUUAAGCUCUUGCCUCUUGACAGCUCUUUUCUGGUGUCACACAAAAAGAGAUCUUUGUCUCUGUGAUAUAAUGUUCCCUCUCUGAGAAGUGUGCAAGGCUUCAAGUGAAAAGCUUACUUCAGCUGGUAUUUGAAGUGCAAUAAAAUGUUCUUCCACUAUAGGGGCAGAGACAGAAUUGGGUCUCGCCUGAUUUUAUGAUGCCACACGAGGCAGGUAACAUUUGGCUCUUGUUCUUACUGCACUUAUUCAAAACAAUGUUUACAAAGUA